ACACAUGCAAGUCGAGCGGUAGAGAGAAGCUUGCUUCUCUUGAGAGCGGCGGACGGGUGAGUAAAGCCUAGGAAUCUGCCUGGUAGUGGGGGAUAACGUUCGGAAACGGACGCUAAUACCGCAUACGUCCUACGGGAGAAAGCAGGGGACCUUCGGGCCUUGCGCUAUCAGAUGAGCCUAGGUCGGAUUAGCUAGUUGGUGAGGUAAUGGCUCACCAAGGCGACGAUCCGUAACUGGUCUGAGAGGAUGAUCAGUCACACUGGAACUGAGACACGGUCCAGACUCCUACGGGAGGCAGCAGUGGGGAAUAUUGGACAAUGGGCGAAAGCCUGAUCCAGCCAUGCCGCGUGUGUGAAGAAGGUCUUCGGAUUGUAAAGCACUUUAAGUUGGGAGGAAGGGUUGUAGAUUAAUACUCUGCAAUUUUGACGUUACCGACAGAAUAAGCACCGGCUAACUCUGUGCCAGCAGCCGCGGUAAUACAGAGGGUGCAAGCGUUAAUCGGAAUUACUGGGCGUAAAGCGCGCGUAGGUGGUUUGUUAAGUUGGAUGUGAAAUCCCCGGGCUCAACCUGGGAACUGCAUUCAAAACUGACUGACUAGAGUGUGGUAGAGGGUGGUGGAAUUUCCUGUGUAGCGGUGAAAUGCGUAGAUAUAGGAAGGAACACCAGUGGCGAAGGCGACCACCUGGACCAACACUGACACUGAGGUGCGAAAGCGUGGGGAGCA
rnacentral:rRNA from 2 species